rnacentral:rRNA from 1 species
AGUGAACGCUGGCGGCAGGCCUAACACAUGCAAGUCGAGCGGCAGCGCGGGGGCAACCCUGGCGGCGAGCGGCGGACGGGUGAGGAAUGCGUCGGAAUCUGCCUCUUUGUGGGGGAUAACGUAGGGGAACUUACGCUAAUACCGCAUACGACCUACGGGUGAAAGUGGGGGACCUUCGGGCCUCACGCAGAGAGAUGAGCCGACGCCGGAUUAGCUAGUUGGCGGGGUAAAGGCCCACCAAGGCGACGAUCCGUAGCUGGUCUGAGAGGAUGAUCAGCCACACUGGAACUGAGACACGGUCCAGACUCCUACGGGAGGCAGCAGUGGGGAAUAUUGGACAAUGGGCGCAAGCCUGAUCCAGCCAUGCCGCGUGUGUGAAGAAGGCCUUCGGGUUGUAAAGCACUUUUGUCCGGAAAGAAAAGCUUCCGAUUAAUACUCGGGAGUCAUGACGGUACCGGAAGAAUAAGCACCGGCUAACUUCGUGCCAGCAGCCGCUGUAAAAC